rnacentral:rRNA from 1 species
GAUGAACGCUGGCGGCGUGCCUAAUACAUGCAAGUCGAGCGAACAGACGAGGAGCUUGCUCCUCUGACGUUAGCGGCGGACGGGUGAGUAACACGUGGAUAACCUACCUAUAAGACUGGGACAACUUCGGGAAACCGGAGCUAAUACCGGAUAAUAUAUUGAACCGCAUGGUUCAAUAGUGAAAGACGGUUUUGCUGUCACUUAUAGAUGGAUCCGCGCCGCAUUAGCUAGUUGGUAAGGUAACGGCUUACCAAGGCAACGAUGCGUAGCCGACCUGAGAGGGUGAUCGGCCACACUGGAACUGAGACACGGUCCAGACUCCUACGGGAGGCAGCAGUAGGGAAUCUUCCGCAAUGGGCGAAAGCCUGACGGAGCAACGCCGCGUGAGUGAUGAAGGUCUUCGGAUCGUAAAACUCUGUUAUUAGGGAAGAACAAAUGUGUAAGUAACUAUGCACGUCUUGACGGUACCUAAUCAGGAAGCCACGGCUAACUACGUG